rnacentral:rRNA from 1 species
ACUCCUACGGGAGGCAGCAGUGGGGAAUAUUGCACAAUGGGGGAAACCCUGAUGCAGCCAUGCCGCGUGUGUGAAGAAGGCCUUCGGGUUGUAAAGCACUUUCAGUAGGGAGGAAGGUAUGUAGUUAACAUACCUGCAUUAUUGACGUUACCUACAGAAGAAGCACCGGCUAACUCCGGUGCCAGCAGCCGCGGUAAUACGGAGGGUGCGAGCGUUAAUCGGAAUUACUGGGCGUAAAGCGCAUGCAGGCGGCCUGUUAAGUCAGAUGUGAAAGCCCGGGGCUUAACCUCGGAAUUGCAUUUGAAACUGGCAGGCUAGAGUCUUGUAGAGGGGGGUAGAAUUUCAGGUGUAGCGGUGAAAAUGCGUAGAGAUCUGAAGGAAUA